rnacentral:rRNA from 1 species
GAUGAACGCUGGCGGCGUGCCUAAUACAUGCAAGUCGAGCGAACAGACGAGGAGCUUGCUCCUCUGACGUUAGCGGCGGACGGGUGAGUAACACGUGGAUAACCUACCUAUAAGACUGGAUAACCUUGGGAAAACGGAGCUAAUACCGGGUAAUUUAUUUAACCGCAUGGUUCCAUAGUUAAAGACGGUUUUGCUGUCACCUAUUGAAGGAUCCGCGCCGCAUUAGCUAGUUGGUAAGGUAACGGCUUACCAAGGCAACGAUGCGUAGCCGACCUGAGAGGGUGAUCGGCCACACUGGAACUGAGACACGGUCCAGACUCCUACGGGAGGCAGCAGUAGGGAAUCUUCCGCAAUGGGCGAAAGCCUGACGGAGCAACGCCGCGUGAGUGAUGAAGGUCUUCGGAUCGUAAAACUCUGUUAUUAGGGAAGAACAAAUGUGUAAGUAACUAUGCACGUCUUGACGGUACCUAAUCAGAAAGCCACGGCUAACUACGUG